UUCUAGUGUCUGUCAGCCCCUCUGCUUCAGAGAUGACAGAGACUGAAAAUGAGAGCGAAAAACAGCUGCAAGACAGUCCGAACCAGAAUCAGGAUGGAGGUGGCUGCUGCUCCUCUGGCCAUGGAGCUAAAAGCAGGUAGAGACAGAAGCACAGAGAGUGAAAGACCACAGCACCAGUGCUUUUUUCCAUGCGAUAAGAGGCGGGCUCGAACCUGGAUCGCGCACAUUAGCAGAGGAGGGCAUUGUCAAUUGGAUUCCCAGGCCAGUUCCUAAGAAGUCUUUUCCAGCAGCCCAGGAUCUCUCCAGUCUCAACAUUCUGCUUUCCCGACGUCGGAAACAGCCGGAAAAUAAACACCCUGAUGACUAAACGGUUUCUCCAGUUCCAGCCUGGGGAAGCACUAAAAAUAGAGGCCACAAAUGAGGGGAGUCUCCCUACUGAGGAAGGGGAGCACUUUCCCAUCCUAGUACUGCCACAACCCAGGGUCUGGCCCAAAGCUAUGUUUUGAGUCCUGGAGGACGGGGCAGGAGGGGAUCCCUCUGCAUAUACCCUUAAGUCCUUUGGGCUGGCUAAGCUAAUGCUGGCCGGCAGGGGAGAUGGGUGGGUGGGUGCGUAGGGUAUGUACCAGCUCCUUUAAAUAAGGCUCCCUGAAGGAGAAGCCAGGUGGAAGCUGAAACUGAGGCCCCAAGGAAACAGAAGCCUACUGGUGUCUUGUCUUAAGACAUCCAAGUUAAGCCUCUCGCCUAUCUGCACAACAAUCACACUAAAUUUGCCUCCUUUGAGGGUUGUGUGGGUCAAUAGGCCUAAAGGGCGCUUGGUAGUCUGGCUCUGGGGUGAUUUGCAAUGCAGCAGGAGACACGGUUGCAAGAAAUCAAUUUACAGAAACUAAUCUUCCUACCAGAUCCCUGAGUUAAGUACAAUCACCACCACCUCUACGUUAUAAUGUGCCUGUGUUCCCAGUUAAUAAAUGGAGGAGUAAGUCUGAAAUAAAUAAGGCAACCUGA